rnacentral:rRNA from 1 species
AUGAACGCUGGCUGUGUGCCUAAUACAUGCAUGUCGAGCGAUGAUAGCAAUAUCAUAGCGGCGAAUGGGUGAGUAACACGUACUCAACGUACCUUUUAGAUUGGGAUAGCGGAUGGAAACAUCCGAUAAUACCGAAUACUUAUUAUUUUUGCAUGAAAGUAAUAUAAAAGGAAGCGUUUGCUUCGCUAAAAGAUCGGAGUGCGCAACAUUAGCUAGUUGGUGAGGUAACGGCCCACCAAGGCGAUGAUGUUUAGCGGGGUUGAGAGAUUGAUCCGCCACACUGGGACUGAGAUACGGCCCAGACUCCUACGGGAGGCAGCAGUAGGGAAUAUUCCACAAUGGACGAAAGUCUGAUGGAGCGACACAGCGUGCAGGAUGAAGGCCCUAUGGGUUGUAAACUGCUGUGGUUAGGGAAGAAAAAGUAGCAUAGGAAAUGAUGCUACCUUGACGGUACCUGAUUAGAAAGCAACGGCUAACUAUGUGCCAGCAGCCGCGGUAAUACAUAGGUUGCAAGCGUUAUCCGAAAUUAUUGGGCGUAAAGCGUCUGUAGGUUGUUUGUUAAGUCUGGCGUUAAAUUUUGGGGCUCAACCCCAAAACGCGUUGGAUACUGGCAGACUAGAGUUAUGUAGAGGUUAGCGGAAUUCCUUGUGAAGCGGUGAAAUGCGUAGAUAUAAGGAAGAACAUCAAUAUGGCGAAGGCAGCUAACUGGGCAUACACUGACACUGAGAGACGAAAGCGUGGGGAGCAAACAGGAUUAGAUACCCUGGUAGUCCACGCCCUAAACGAUGAUCAUUAGUUGAUGGGGAACUCAUCGACGCAGCUAACGCAUUAAAUGAUCCGCCUGAGUAGUACGUUCGCAAGAAUAAAACUUAAAGGAAUUGACGGGGAUCCGCACAAGCGGUGGAGCAUGUGGUUUAAUUUGAAGAUACGCGUAGAACCUUACCCACUCUUGACAUCUUCUGCAAAGCUAUAGAGA